rnacentral:rRNA from 1 species
UACGUAGGUGGCAAGCGUUGUCCGGAAUUAUUGGGCGUAAAGCGCGCGCAGGCGGUCCUUUAAGUCUGGUGUGAAAGCCCACGGCUCAACCGUGGAGGGUCAUUGGAAACUGGGGGACUUGAGUGCAGGAGAGAAGAGUGGAAUUCCACGUGUAGCGGUGAAAUGCGUAGAGAUGUGGAGGAACACCAGUGGCGAAGGCGACUCUCUGGGCUGUAACUGACGCUGAGGCGCGAAAGCGUGGGGAGCAAACAGG